rnacentral:rRNA from 1 species
ACUCAAAUGAAUUGACGGGGAGGCGCACAAGCAGUGGAGCGUGUGGUUUAAUUCGAAACAAAGCGAAAAACCUCACCAGGGUUUGACAUGUACUUGCUAAUCCUAUGAAAGUAGGACUCCUUCGAGGGUAGUACACAGAUGCUGCAUGGCUGUCGUCAGCUCGUGGCGUGAGCUGUUAGGUUAAGUCCUGAAACGAGCGCAACCCGCAUCUUAUGUUAAAUAAUUCAUAAGAAACUGCCCCGCUUUUGCGGGGAGGAAGGCGCGGAUGACGUCAAGUCAGCACGGCUCUUACACCCUGGGCUACACACACCCUACAAUGGGCAACAACAACGAGUUACAAGCCGGUAACGGCAAGUUAACCUCUGAAAUUUGUCCUCAGUUCAGAUUGGGGUCUGCAACCUGACCCCAUGAAGUCGGAAUUGCUAGUAAUCGCGAAUCAGAAGGUCGCGGUGAAUACGUUCUCGCCUCUUGUACACACCGCCCGU